GAAAUAAGUGAAACAAAAGUAAGCUUCUAACUUAACUUUUAAGCAAUGAAAUUUGUUUUUAUUUCU
rnacentral:tRNA from 1 species